ensembl:lncRNA
AUUUUGGUAAAGCACAAAUUAUAGAAUGCAUAAAAUAGGACACAAAGUUGGGUUUUUUUGUUAAAUACAGAAACAAAAAUAACUAGUGAAAAAUAGUUUAUCUUACUGCAUAAUGACAAUUUUUCUUUUUCUUCUCAUUUUCAGGAAAGUAAUUCAGAUAUAAGAACUGACUAUGCAGUUAUCUUUUGGUUCCUAGCAGGAAAAAAUAAACAAGUCAAGUAUUAACGUCAGUUUCUGCUUUGUGGGAACAUAACUGUGGCCAAAAAGAUUUUGAAAUAAUUUGCACUGUUAAAGCUUGAGUGAGUACCAGUGCAUAAAGCUGAUAGCCUAAACUGGGCCCCUGGAAGGUACUUGGCUUUCAUAAUUCAGAACAGUUACUGCCACCGAUAAAGUACAGAACUGUGGAAGAUAAUCUCCUCAGCAGACAAAAGAUGAAAAUUUUCAUUAUUUUGGGAUUUUCAGCAGCUAUAGCCUUCACAGCUGUUUUCUUUUCUUUCCUUGAAAUAGGGAAAGACACCAUCUUUGAACAAAUUGAAGAUAACUGCAUUACUAAGGCUAUCCAGAAGGGUUCCAGUCUGGUCGAUUAUGCUGCACAUUAUGAAAUUAAAAGGUA